GGCCCAAUAGCUCAGUUUGGUUAGAGCGCCAGCCUGUCACGCUGGAGGUCACGAGUUCGAGCCUCGUUUGGGUCGCCA
rnacentral:tRNA from 2 species